CCAGACUCCUACGGGAGGCAGCAGUGGGGAAUAUUGCACAAUGGGGGAAACCCUGAUGCAGCGACGCCGCGUGAGCGAUGAAGUAUUUCGGUAUGUAAAGCCCUAUCGGCAGGGAAGAAGGAGGACGGUACCUGACUAAGAAGCCCCGGCUAACUACGUGCCAGCAGCCGCGGUAAUACGUAGGGGGCAAGCGUUAUCCGGAUUUACUGGGUGUAAAGGGGGCGCAGACGGCAGCGCAAGCCAGGAGUGAAAGCCCGGGGCCCAACCCCGGGACUGCUCUGGAAACUGCGGCGCUGGAGUACGGGAGGGGCAGGCGGAAUUCCUGGUGUAGCGGUGAAAUGCGUAGAUAUCAGGAGGAACACCGGCGGCGAAGGCGGCCUGCUGGACCGUGACUGACGUUGAGGCUCGAGAGCGUGGGGAGCAAGCAGGAUUAGAUACCCUCGUA
rnacentral:rRNA from 1 species